CGUCUCAGGAAGGGAGCGUUUAUCGCGGUUACCGGGCCAACUCUGGGUGCCGCUCCGACGGGGCAGGGCAGGGCACACCCUCAGCUCCUGGGAGCUGCUGGACCUAGAAGAGGCUGCUUGGCCAACCCCAGAGGCCUGCAGACAAGCGGGAGCUGGGGCGGGCUUGAAGGUCAGGUUCACCUCCUCCAGGAGCCACUGCUUCCCGCCACGAGAGCGGCUGUUUGUUCUGCUGGCCCGAGCUAAGCAGAGACUGGAGCGCAGGGAAGAGACCGGGGAAUAUGUGCCAAGCGACACGUCAGGGAAGGAAGGACCUUGCCCACGGUGACACAGCUGCUUACUGGCUGUAUUCCAUGUAGCACCCUCAUCUGCUGUGGCCAAAGCGAAGUACAGAGUUCCAGGCAGAGUUCCCACCCGUCCUGGGAACCCAAAUUUUGAUGAUUGGAACUAAGAGGGAUAUAAGAAAGCAGCCACAGGGAUGGAAUUUGGAGCUUGAUCAUUUGCCACCAGCUGGUAAGGAGGACCACACUGCAAGGGGCAUCUGGCAGAAAGAGAAGCACUGAAAUUGUCAGAGGAUCUACUCACUACAUCACUGUGGUGACCUGCAGGGAAGCGAUACACAUGGACUUCCCAACAAUGUCAAGUAGCAGGUGACUACACAAGAUGGGGGAACUUCACCACAGCCAGCUCUCCAGACCCUCCACAGCCCGCUUUGUGUGAGGGCCACCAACUGGGUGUGCUGGAGGCCAAGGAAUUGUAGCUGGACAAGUCAAGCAGGAAAGGCUCCUCUAGGAGGCCGGUGGGCCCAUUGUGGGACGUCAACAGCUGGAGUGCCUGGGACAAAGCCUGGCAAGGUACCCAUAUGAUUUUGAAAUUCAAUGGGAUGUCCACAAACAUGUGGCAGGAAUUUGACCGAAGUAAGCAUCACUGCAUCUCCCCCAGACAUGCCACUGGCUUCCAUGGAAAGCAAGUAAGAGGAAAAAGCUAGAAGUAUCGCAG